AGCAGUAGCCGCGGUAAUACGAAGGGGGCUAGCGUUGUUCGGAAUUACUGGGCGUAAAGCGCACGUAGGCGGAUAUUUAAGUCAGGGGUGAGAUCCCAGAGCUCAACUCUGGAACUGCCUUUGAUACUGGGUAUCUUGAGUAUGGAAGAGGUGAGUGGAAUUCCGAGUGUAGAGGUGAAAUUCGUAGAUAUUCGGAGGAACACCAGUGGCGAAGGCGGCUCACUGGUCCAUUACUGACGCUGAGGUGCGAAAGCGUGGGGAGCAAACAGGAUUAGAGACCCCUGUAGUCCCUGUCUCUUAUAC
rnacentral:rRNA from 1 species